GGUGAGGAGGUCUCCAAGGAAACUCCAGAACAUUCUGUGUGUUUUGGUGAUUGCUUGCUGAGGUGGCAGUGGGCGUGGAGCAUCUGAAGGUCCAAGCUUUCUCCUAACAGAUAGGCCUUAACCCAGCUGGAUCCAAGAGAGGCCCUGCACUUGAACUUGGAGGAAGAGGUUCUUCUUGGCCACCAUCAACCAGCACCCCCAGCUGCUACCAAGGUGCAAGAACACGCCGUGGCUGUGAGAGGACUGUAGGGGGCGAGGGCAGAGGAAGGAGCCAGCCAGGGGGCUCCCAAAACAAUCCAGGCAGGAGAGAGUGGUGGCCUGGACAAGGGUAGCAGCCCUGCAGGUAGAGGAAACUGGCUGGAUUCCAGAAAUUCUCCCAUUUCAGCACCCAGAC